AGAAUCAACGCUGGCGGCGUGCCUAACACAUGCAAGUCGAGCGCGAAAGGGGGGGCAACUCCCCGAGUAGAGCGGCAAACGGGUGAGUAACGCGUGGGUGAUCUACCUUCGAGUGGGGAACAACACCGGGAAACUGGUGCUGAUACCGCAUGACAUCCCGGGUCACACCGGGAUCAAAGCUGGGGACCGUAAGGCCUGGCGCUUGAAGACGAGCCCGCGUCCGAUUAGCUAGUUGGCGGGGUAACGGCCCACCAAGGCGACGAUCGGUAGCCGGCCUGAGAGGGCGACGGCCACGACUGGAC
rnacentral:rRNA from 1 species